rnacentral:misc_RNA from 1 species
CCCUGCUUUUUUAGUAAACGUUGAAAUGAUGUCGAAAAUGUUUUGGCAAAGAAUAACAGGUUCUCCAAAGAAAUGAAUCCAGCUCCUCUGAAAUCAGUAGAUGGAUCUCUUCCUUGCCAUCCCAUUUCUUUCCAUUGAUCAGAUAUCAAACCGUGAAGCUUCCUAUCAGGAUAUGUGGCAGACCACAGUGCUCUUAAAGCUUCC